rnacentral:rRNA from 1 species
AUUGAACGCUGGCGGCAGGCCUAACACAUGCAAGUCGAACGGUAACAGGAAGCAGCUUGCUGCUUUGCUGACGAGUGGCGGACGGGUGAGUAAUGUCUGGGAAACUGCCCGAUGGAGGGGGAUAACUACUGGAAACGGUAGCUAAUACCGCAUAACGUCGCAAGACCAAAGAGGGGGACCUUAGGGCCUCUUGCCAUCGGAUGUGCCCAGAUGGGAUUAGCUAGUAGGUGGGGUAACGGCUCACCUAGGCGACGAUCCCUAGCUGGUCUGAGAGGAUGACCAGCCACACUGUAACUGAGACACGGUCCAGACUCCUACGGGAGGCAGCAGUGGGGAAUAUUGCACAAUGGGCGCAAGCCUGAUGCAGCCAUGCCGCGUGUAUGAAGAAGGCCUUCGGGUUGUAAAGUACUUUCAGCGGGGAGGAAGGGAGUAAAGUUAAUACCUUUGCUCAUUGACGUUACCCGCAGAAGAAGCACCGGCUAACUCCGUG